rnacentral:tRNA from 3 species
GCCCAAGUGGCGGAAUGGUAGACGCAGGGGAUUCAAAAUCCCCCGGUAGCAAUACCGUGUGAGUUCGAGUCUCACCUUGGGCA